GAUGAACGCUGGCGGCGCGCCUAACACAUGCAAGUCGAACGGCACCUAUCUUCGGGUAGAAGCGAGUGGCGAACGGCUGAGUAACACGUGGAGAACCUGCCCCCUCCCCCGGGAUAGCCGCCCGAAAGGACGGGUAAUACCGGAUACCCCGGGGUGCCGCAUGGCACCCCGGCUAAAGCCCCGACGGGAGGGGAUGGCUCCGCGGCCCAUCAGGUAGACGGCGGGGUGACGGCCCACCGUGCCGACAACGGGUAGCCGGGUUGAGAGACCGACCGGCCAGAUUGGGACUGAGACACGGCCCAGACUCCUACGGGAGGCAGCAGUGGGGAAUCUUGCGCAAUGGGGGGAACCCUGACGCAGCGACGCCGCGUGCGGGACGGAGGCCUUCGGGUCGUAAACCGCUUUCAGCAGGGAAGAGUCAAGACUGUACCUGCAGAAGAAGCCC
rnacentral:rRNA from 1 species